rnacentral:rRNA from 1 species
AUUGAACGCUGGCGGCAUGCCUAACACAUGCAAGUCGAACGGGGCAGCAAUGCCUAGUGGCGGCCGGGUGAGGAAUACGUAGGAAUCUGCCCUUAAGUGGGGGUAAACCAGGGGAAACCCUGACUAAUACCGCAUGAUCUCUUCGGAGCAAAGAGGGGGACCGCAAGGCCUCCCGCUUCUGGAUGGGCCUACGUCUGAUUAGCUAGUUGGUAGGGUAAAGGCCUACCAAGGCGACGAUCAGUAACUGGUCUGAGAGGAUGAUCAGUCACACCGGAACUGAGACACGGUCCGGACUCCUACGGGAGGCAGCAGUGGGGAAUAUUGGACAAUGGGCGCAAGCCUGAUCCAGCAAUGCCGCGUGUGUGAAGAAGGCCUUCGGGUUGUAAGGCACUUUAGCCUGGAAAGAAAAAACUUUGGUUAACACCCAAAGUCUUGACGGUACCAGGAGAAUAAGCACCGGCUAACUCUGUGCCAGCCGCCGCCGUAACAC